UCCCUGGUGGUUAAGUGGUUAGGGCUUGGUGUUUUCAAUGCUGGAGCCUGGGUUCAAUUCCUGGUUGGGGAA
rnacentral:tRNA from 1 species